GUGCUGCUGGGGACUGAGUUCAGGACCUCACGCUUGAGAGUCUGAUGCUUUAUCCACUGCGCCGCCUCCCAGACCAACAAGAUGAAGCUUUUGUUGUUAACAUAUGGACUUAUUAAUGGGGUUAUUGGCGGGGCUUGGUGCCUGCACUGCAAAUCCACUGCUCCUGGAGGUCAUUCCUUUUCUUUACUUGAUAGGACACAGAGAAGCCCAGAGGGAAGAAACACACCUGCAGUACUUGCUUCCUCCUUUGUGAAACUUCUUCCCUGCAGGCGGGGAACAGGGACUGGAACCCUGGUCCUUGUGCAUAGUGACAUGUGCACUUAACCAGAAGAAGAACUACCAGUUGAAUCCUCCCAUCAACAUUUGAUGGGGGGGGGGGGGGGGAGACAUUAAAUGGAGUAAGGAGAGCCUCCAGGCUAUAUCUUAAAAAAAAAAAAGAGUCCAGAAUCCAGCAAAGCAGCCACAGCCCAGGUCAGAGACAAACACUCUCACCCCACCAGCCUGUGCCCCAAGAUUGUAGAAGGCAGUUUUGUAAUCAUACCUCCACUGGCCUUUUACGAACGUGUGAACAUAUCUGGUCUUUCCACACCAUUGGUGUUGAAGUUUGAUGACUACGGUUUCGACAACUAGUCU